CCUGGUGGCUCAGAUGGUAAAGCAUCUGCCUACAGUGCAGGAGACCUGGGUUCAAUCCCUGGGUCAGGA
rnacentral:tRNA from 1 species